GACGAACGCUGGCGGCGUGCUUAACACAUGCAAGUCGAGCGGUAAGGCCCUUUCGGGGGUACACGAGCGGCGAACGGGUGAGUAACACGUGGGUGACCUGCCCUCAGCUCUGGGAUAAGCCUGGGAAACCGGGUCUAAUACUGGAUAUGACUCCAUGACGCAUGUUGUGGGGUGGAAAGCCUUGUGCGGCUGAGGAUGGGCCCGCGGCCUAUCAGCUUGUUGGUGGGGUGANGGCCUACCAAGGCGACGACGGGUAGCCGGCCUGAGAGGGCGACCGGCCACACUGGGACUGAGACACGGCCCAGACUCCUACGGGAGGCAGCAGUGGGGAAUCUUGCGCAAUGGGCGAAAGCCUGACGCAGCGACGCCGCGUGAGGGAUGACGGGCCUGG
rnacentral:rRNA from 1 species